UUUGAUCAAUGAUUCAUCCACUUUAUGGUGAAUGAAUUUGUAAAAAGGAAAAAAAAUUAUUGUUAGCCAGGUACAUAUUUUGAAUUGCAUGUCAUAACAAAACAGCUGUAGAAUCUUUGUGAAACACACAUUGAACAAUGAGUUGUAGUGGCGAAUCCAUUUCUUCUGCCCUCAACAUAGAAACUUCACCAUUUUCAUAUGCAUUUCCAGAACAUAGAGUUGACACCAUGUAAGCAGCCUUCACAACAGUUGCUUGGGAAAAGAUCUUCAUGUGCAUCUAUCGAUAUGCACAACAUAACAAAUAUUUAUAUUCCUCGGAUUUUAUGCUUUCUUUUUCCUUUUGCCUAAU
rnacentral:lncRNA from 1 species